UUUUAAAUAUCAAACUACAAAAAACUAGUCUCAUGGGUGGGGGUCCAUCCCUCUAGCAUGGAGUCAUCACCAGGGUUUAGAAGCUGUUAUAAUUUUAACACUAAAACAUAUUUAGUCCCUCAGGUUCUCAGAUUAGCCCUUACACUUAAGGCAGGAGC